rnacentral:rRNA from 13 species
CACCGCGGUUAUACGAGAGACCCAAGUUGAUAGUCUCCGGCGUAAAGUGUGGUUAGGAUAAGACUCAACACUAGGAUUAAACGCCCUUGAAGCUGUUAUACGCAAUUGAGGGUCGGAAGCUCGUCUACGAAAGUGAUCCUAAACAUCUGAACCCACGAAAGCUAUGGUA